rnacentral:rRNA from 1 species
AAAGCGAAGAGUUUGAUCCUGGCUCAGAACGAACGCUGGCGGCGUGGCUAAGGCAUGCAAGUCGAACGGGACUCUUGUGGUAGCAAUAUUACGGGAGUUGAGUGGCGGACGGGUGAGUAAUGCAUGGGUAACGUACCUUGAACACAGGGAUAGCGGCGCCCCGCAAGGGGCUUUAGCGAAAGUGCCGGUAAUACCUGAUGACAUCCAGGGGCCUCAUGGCUUCUGGCUCAAAGAUGGGGACCCUUCGGGGCCUAUUGGUUCGAGAUCGGCCCAUGUCCUAUCAGCUAGUUGGUGGGGUAACGGCCUACCAAGGCUAUGACGGGUAGCCGGCGUGAGAGCGCGACCGGCCACAUCGGGACUGAGACACUGCCCGGACACCUACGGGUGGCUGCAGCAACGAAUAUUCCGCAAUGGGCGAAAGCCUGACGGAGCGACGCCGCGUGGAGGACGAAGUCCCUCGGGAUGUAAACUUCAAUAGUAUGCCAGGAAGCGAGCCGACCUAAUACGUCGGCGAGUUGACCAUCAUAUGACAGGGGCGGCUAACUCCGUGCCAGCAGCCGCGGUAAGACGGAGGCCCCGAGCGUUGUUCGGAAUCACUGGGCUUAAAGCGCGUGUAGGCGGGACGGUAAGUACCUUGUGAAAUCCCCGGCUUCAACCCGGGAACUGCUCGGUAUACUGUCGUUCUUGAGGCAAGUAGGGGUUACUGGAACCUUAGGUGGAGCGGUGAAAUGCGUAGAUAUCUAAGGGAACGCCAGGGGCGAAAGCGGGUAACUGGGCUUGUCCUGACGCUGAGACGCGAAAGCGUAGGGAGCAAACGGGAUUAGAUACCCCGGUAGUCUACGCCGUAAACGAUGCGCACUAGGUACGAGGGUCUCUGACGUCUCUCGUGCCGAAACAAAAGCGCUAAGUGCGCCGCCUGGGGAGUACGGCCGCAAGGCUAAAACUCAAAGGAAUUGACGGGGGCUCACACAAGCGGUGGAGCAUGUGGAUCAAUUCGAAGCAACGCGCAGAACCUUACCUAGGUUUGACAUGCACGGAUGGUCUCGGGGAAACUCGAGUAAUCUGCCUUCGGGUGAAACGUGCACAGGUGCUGCAUGGCUGUCGUCAGCUCGUGCUGUGAAGUGUCGGGUUAAGUCCCUUAACGAGCGAAACCCUUGUCGCUAGUUGCCAGCGGGUCAUGCCGGGAACUCUAGCGAGACUGCCGGCGUUAAGCCGGAGGAAGGUGGGGACGACGUCAAGUCAUCAUGGCCUUUAUGCCUAGGGCGUCACACGUGCUACAAUGGGGCGUACAGAGCGAAGCAAGACCGCGAGGUGGAGCAAAUCGCAGAAAACGUCCCUCAGUUCAGAUUGGGGUCUGCAAUUCGACCCCAUGAAGUCGGAAUCGCUAGUAAUCGCGCAUCAGCCAUGGCGCGGUGAAUGAGUUCCUGAGCCUUGUACACACCGCCCGUCAAGUCAUGGGAGCUGGGAGUUCCCGAAGUCGCUGUGAUUCGACAGUGCCGACGGAAAGCCCGGUGACUGGGACUAAGUCGUAACAAGGUAGCCGUAGGGGAACCUGCGGCUGGAUCACCUCCUUU